UACGGGGGGGGGCAAGCGUUGUUCGGAAUUACUGGGCGUAAAGGGCUCGUAGGCGGCCAACUAAGUCAGACGUGAAAUCCCUCGGCUUAACCGGGGAACUGCGUCUGAUACUGGAUGGCUUGAAUCCGGGAGAGGGAUGCGGAAUUCCUGGUGUAGCGGUGAAAUGCGCAGAUAUCAGGAGGAACACCAAUGGCGAAGGCAGCUCGCUGGGGACGGUACUGACGCUGAGACGCGAAAGCGUGGGGAGCAAACAGG
rnacentral:rRNA from 1 species